rnacentral:rRNA from 1 species
GAUGAACGCUAGCGGCAGGCUUAACACAUGCAAGUCGAGGGGUAGAGGAAGCUUGCUUCCUUGAGACCGGCGCACGGGUGCGUAACGCGUAUGCAACCUACCUUUUACAGAGGGAUAGCCCAGAGAAAUUUGGAUUAAUACCUCAUGGUAUAUAUCAUUCGCAUGUUUGAUAUAUUAAAGUUCCAACGGUAAAAGAUGGGCAUGCGUCCUAUUAGCUAGAUGGUAAGGUAACGGCUUACCAUGGCAACGAUAGGUAGGGGUCCUGAGAGGGCGAUCCCCCACACUGGUACUGAGACACAGACCAGACUCCUACGGGAGGCAGCAGUGAGGAAUAUUGGACAAUGGGCGCAAGCCUGAUCCAGCCAUGCCGCGUGCAGGAAGAAGCAUCUAUGGUGUGUAAACUGCUUUUGUACGGGAAGAAACGACUCUUGCGAGAGGCAUUGACGGUACUGUAUGAAUAAGCACCGGCUAACUCCGUGCCAGCAGCCGCCGUAAUAC